CUUCACACACGGAAUCUUGCAUGAGUUUCUUUUAGUUUUCACACCUACUACACGAAAAGUCUUUUUUUUUUUUCUAUUACAAUUCAAUUAAACAAUUAAACGAAAUCUUGCUUGACGAUAUAACUUUGGACACAACAAAAAUAAUUUUAAAAGCUUUAGUAGAAAAACGUCAAAGCGAAUUCGUGUAAUCAUGUGCAAACCUAGUCUCCUUUGAAGCCGCCCGCUUGGCUCGGACCAUAAAAAGGCGACGCUCUACUCGAUCUAAAAAGCUUCAAACAUCUCAGUAGAAAUAAAAAGCCCUGAUGAUGGACAGAAAUUAAAAUGCAGCAGCCAAGGUGAUAUACUUAGCAGCACUCGCAGGCAAAAUAACCCGGUUAAACUGGUUUUAGGGUUAUUCUAGGUCGCAAGACGCCUCUGCCUCGCCCCCCUACCAGACACCGUAACACUGAACUUGAGAGGGCUAUCCACUUUGCACAUGAGCGUAUGCUUUGAGAGGGCUUAAUAAAUAAUCUUGAGACAACUAGUAGUAACGUGCACACAGAACUGACACCUAGCUAGAGAAAGUCACAUGGCCAAGGUUAAAUAUUUUCUAGUGUGACAGCUGAAAUCGUGAAGCCCAAAAAUGCGAAACUUGAUCUUU